CUGCGCUGCCCUUUUUCGAUCUGCACUACGAGCCCUGCCAGCAGGCGCUAAUUUCUUUCGUCUUCCUCCCUCGUUGGUUCCACUACGCGACCUCUGAACAUGUACAGGUUUUCAAGAUUCAGCGUGGAGGAAACUGCAUCAUCCUGCAGAAGGUAGCCUCAUCAAAUUCAUUAGGAUUAUUGAUGAUGAUCAGAUGAGGAGGAAGACGCUGAGGUUGAGGAUGGAUAAGUCCAGAUCGAAGCUGAACCUGUGGGUAACCUUCCACUCCUUGAUGACAAUUUUGAGGUUAUCAGAUUGCUGUGACCAUCUCGUCGAUGUUCCACAUGUACUUGUUCUACUUGCAACAUGUUACAUGUAAAGGAUAAUGGGCGACAUGUUCUACACCAAGAACCUUCAGUCACUCAGAGGUUGGAAGAGGCUGCUCCCUCAACCUCAGGCAUCGGCACCACCACAAAGAGGAA